UGGGGGAAUGUGGUAAAGGUGUUUCCAUACUUAGAGGACACUUUGCAUUGGCAGCACAUGCUUCAGUGAUCUGGGAGUGUUUAUAGUGCUGUGACUUUAACACUUCAUGACUGAGAGCUGCUGCUACAGCAACUUCACCCACAGCUACCAUGACUUUGAUCCCCGUCUUCAUCUGGACACUGAUCCUCUGGACUCAAGAAUGCAGAGGUCAAGUCACAGUAACUCAGACUCCUGCAGUGAAAUCUGUUCUUCCAGGAGAAACAGUCACCAUCAACUGUAGAACCAGUCCGGCAGUGUACAGUAACUCAAAUGGUCACUUCUUACACUGGUAUCAGCAGAAACCUGGAGAAGCUCCUAAACUUAUGCUUAAGCUUGCAAAUCAGAGACAGUCAGGUUUUCCAGCUCGUUUCAGUGGCAGUGGAUCUGGAUCUGAUUUCACUCUGACCAUCAGUGGAGUCCAAACUGAAGAUGCAGGAGAUUACUACUGUCAGAGUUACCAUUACAUCAGUAGCACCAACCUGUGGACUUUUGGUGGAGGAACUAAACUGUCUGUGGGCCGUGACACCCAGCCCAGUGUGACAGUGCUGCCCCCCUCCAGUGUGGAGCUGCAGCAGGAGAAGGUCACACUCGUGUGUGUGGCCUACAAGGGCUUCCCCUCGGACUGGAAGUUGAGCUGGAAGGUUGACGGCAGCAACUGGAGCUCGGGGGAGAGCCGCAGCGCCGCCGUUCUGAACGCGGACGGCCUCUACAGCUGGAGCAGCACGCUGAGCCUCCACCCGGAUCAGUGGAGGAACAAGGUGGUGACCUGUGAGGCCUCCAAAGACAACCAACCUACUGUAGUGAGCACAGUGAACAAAGAGCAGUGCUCAGAGCUGUGAGCUCACACACACUUUACUCAGCUCACCUUCUACUGCUUCACUGUGUGCUACAUGUGGCCUUUACUGCUCAAAUCAUCCACUCUCAUCAUUUCAUUUGUCUUAUUAACAUGUGAGCUCACACACUCCUCACUUUAACUCAGCUCUUCUUCUUAAUUAUCACCUAAAUAUGUGUUAAGUGUGUGGAUCGCUGCAAUGUCCUGCUUUGAAUUAUUAAUAAAAGCUUUUGAAUCAGUAAA